AUUCCCCUAGUAACGGCGAGUGAAGCGGGAAGAGCUCAAAUUUGAAAGCUGGCACCUUCGGUGUCCGCGUUGUAAUCUCGAGAAGUGUUUUCCGUGCUGGACCAUGUACAAGUUCCUUGGAAUAGGACGUCAUAGAGGGUGAAAAUCCCGUACUUGACAUGGACGCCCAGUGCUUUGUGAUACACUCUCCACGAGUCGAGUUGUUUGGGAAUGCAGCUCAAAAUGGGUGGUAAAUUCCAUCUAAAGCUAAAUAUUGGGGAGAGACCGAUAGCGAACAAGUACCGUGAGGGAAAGAUGAAAAGCACUUUGGAAAGAGAGUUAAACAGUACGUGAAAUUGUCGAAAGGGAAGCGCUUGAAGUUAGACAUGCUUGUCGGGAUUCAGCCUUGCUUUUGCUUGGUGUAUUUCCCGGUGUGCAGGCCAGCAUCAGUUUUGUUUGCCGGAUAAGGGUGAGAGGAAUGUGGCCCCUUGGGGUGUUAUAGCCUCUCACUGGAUACGGCGGAUGGGACUGAGGACCGCAGUGUGCCUUUAUGGCGGGCCUUCGGGCACCUUCACACUUAGGAUGCUGGCGUAAUGGCUUUAAGCGACCCGUC
rnacentral:rRNA from 1 species